rnacentral:rRNA from 1 species
CCUACGGGAGGCAGCAGUAGGGAAUCUUCCGCAAUGGACGAAAGUCUGACGGAGCAACGCCGCGUGAGCGAUGAAGGCCUUCGGGUCGUAAAGCUCUGUUGUUAGGGAAGAACAAGUAUCGGAGUAACUGCCGGUACCUUGACGGUACCUAACCAGAAAGCCACGGCUAACUACGUGCCAGCAGCCGCGGUAAUACGUAGGUGGCAAGCGUUGUCCGGAAUUAUUGGGCGUAAAGCGCGCGCAGGCGGUCCUUUAAGUCUGAUGUGAAAGCCCACGGCUCAACCGUGGAGGGUCAUUGGAAACUGGGGGACUUGAGUGCAGAAGAGGAGAGCGGAAUUCCACGUGUAGCGGUGAAAUGCGUAGAGAUGUGGAGGAACACCAGUGGCGAAGGCGGCUCUCUGGUCUGUAACUGACGCUGAGGCGCGAAAGCGUGGGGAGCAAACAGGAUUAGAUACCCUGGUAGUCCACGCCGUAAACGAUGAGUGCUAAGUGUUAGGGGGUUUCCGCCCCUUAGUGCUGCAGCUAACGCAUUAAGCACUCCGCCUGGGGAGUACGGCCGCAAGGCUGAAACUUAAAGGAAUUGACGG